rnacentral:rRNA from 1 species
ACGAACGCUGGCGGCGUGCCUAAUCCAUGCACGUCGAGCGGACUUUCCAGAAGCUUGCUUUUUGAAAGUUAGCGGCGGACGGGUGAGUAACACGUGGGCAACCUGCCUGCAAGACGGGGAUAACUCCGGGAAACCGGGGCUAAUACCGGAUAAUAUCUUCCUUCGCAUGAAGGAAGGUUGAAAGGCGGCGCAAGCUGCCGCUUGCAGAUGGGCCCGCGGCGCAUUAGCUAGUUGGUGAGGUAACGGCUCACCAAGGCGACGAUGCGUAGCCGACCUGAGAGGGUGAUCGGCCACACUGGGACUGAGACACGGCCCAGACUCCUACGGGAGGCAGCAGUAGGGAAUCUUCCGCAAUGGACGAAAGUCUGACGGAGCAACGCCGCGUGAGCGAAGAAGGGCUUCGGAUCGUAAAGCUCUGUUGUCAGGGAAGAACAAGUACCGUUCGAACAGGGCGGUACCUUGACGGUACCUGACCAGAAAGCCACGGCUAACUACGUG